rnacentral:rRNA from 1 species
UGGCAGGUCUUCGGCUGGUUAAUUCCGUUAACGAACGAAACCUUAACCUGAUAAAUACCCUCCUAAGCUUAACGCUUUGGCUGUGCUUCUUAUAUGGACUUUGCGUGUAUAACGCAUGGAAGUUUAAGGCAAUAACAGGUCUGUGAUGCCCUUAGAUGUUCUGGGCUGUACGCUCUCUACACUGAUACAUACAGAGAGUCUUCCUGGCUUGAAAAAGUUGGGUAAUCUUGUGAAUGUGUAUCGUGAUGGGGAUAGACUAUUGCAAUUGUUCGUCUUGAACGAGGAAUUCCUAGUAAGCACAAGUCAUUAGCUUGUGCUGAUUACUUCCCUGCCCUUUGUACACACCGCCC